rnacentral:lncRNA from 1 species
ACCAGCCCCUCUCUAUUCUCAAACUUCGGGAUUGAGUGAUGAAGAGGAAGAAGACGAAUUUGCACAGCUAGCUCGAAGGUCAGCUAGGACUAAUAAUUUGGAUUUAUAUUUUAAUUGGCAUGGGUUUUGGAAAGUCAAUUUUCUUCCCUGUUGCGAUUGUGAUGUGAAAAUAGGAAGCAUGAGUGUUAUAUAAUCUUGGACAUGCAUUUUGGUCUGUGGUGCCCUGGAACAAUUCAGGAUCAAUGAAUUGGUUCCAUUUUUUAAACCAAUUAUUGAUUCAGCAUGAAAUUUUUACCACUUAUGCAGACAUUCUAAGACACAGUCGGCGGCGUCAAUGAGCGUGACGUCACAUGUGGCAGAUUCCUCAACUACUGUCCCAUCCAAUGCAUUAGCUCUUCCCGAUCCACCUGCACCAGUUAGUACUGGAAAGGAUCAGGACAUUAUUGACUUGCUGAGCCUCACUUUGUCCCUCACACCAUCAACUCCACAGGAAAAUUAUACGUCAUCAGCGACCUCUGUCGAAGGAAUGCAUCAAGCAGCUAAUCCAUCCACAACAGAGGGGUAUUCUAAUGCUCCCCAAACAUAUCCUGGGAAUAAGCAAUACAACAGUUAUGUCGCUCCAUGGGCUAGGCCUCAAUCGCCGUCGGAACCUCAAGUCCAGUCACAGCAACAGAUGUAUCAACCCCAGUCUCAGUCCCGCUCCCAGCCUGCCACCCCACCCUCGUAUGAAUCCGAACAAUCACUGCAUAAUCAACCACCUCAGUUUCAGCAAUCACAACCAUUCCAACAACAAAAUCAGCCACCUUUGCAGACACCACCCUCGUAUGAAUCCGAACAAUCACUUAAUAAUCGACAAACUGAGUUCCAGCAAUCACAACCAUUCCAACAACAAACUCAGCCACCGUUGCAGUCCCAGCAUCCUCAAUAUAGCGCUUCACCACAGUAUCAACCCUCACACGCACAUUUGCAACCCCAACCCCAACAUUUCCAGGCCCAACCCCAACCCCAACAUUUCCAGGGUCAGCUCCGAUCCCCACCCCAACCACAGU